GGUUAGCUCAGUGGUAAAGGGCUUGCCUGGUAUGGAAGAAGCUCUGGGUUUGAUCCCCAGCAUCA
rnacentral:tRNA from 1 species